UGAAUUGAAGCCCCAGUAAACGGCGGCCGUAACUAUAACGGUCCUAAGGUAGCGAAAUUCCUUGUCAGGUAAGUUCUGACCCGCACGAAAGGCGUAACGAUUUGGGCGCUGUCUCAGCUGUAGACUCGGUGAAGUCUUAGUACCUGUGAAGAUGCAGGUUACCCGCGACUAGACGGAAAGACCCCAUGGAGCUUUACUGUAGCUUGAUAUUGGACUUUGAUGCAAGAUGUACAGGAUAGGUAGGAGACUGAGAGACAUGCACGCCAGUGUGUGAGGAGUCAAUGUUGGGAUACUACUCUUCUUGUAUUGGAGUUCUAACCGGAUGCCAUGGAACUGGCAACGGGACAGUGUCAGGUGGGCAGUUUGACUGGGGCGGUCGCCUCCCAAAGAGUAACGGAGGCGCCCAAAGAUACCCUCAGCUUGGAUGGAAAUCAAGCGCAGAGUGCAAAGGCAUAAGGGUGUUUGACUGCGAGACCUACAAGUCGAGCAGGGACGAAAGUCGGGCUUAGUGAUCCGGCGGUGCUGAAUGGAAAGGCCGUCGCUCAACGGAUAAAAGCUACCCUGGGGAUAACAGGCUGAUCUCCCCCAAGAGUUCACAUCGACGGGGAGGUUUGGCACCUCGAUGUCGGCUCAUCGCAUCCUGGGGCUGAAGUAGGUCCCAAGGGUUGGGCUGUUCGCCCAUUAAAGCGGUACGCGAGCUGGGUUCAGAACGUCGUGAGACAGUUCGGUCCCUAUCUGUCGUGGGCGUAGGAAGUUUGAGAAGAUCUGUCCUCAGUACGAGAGGACCGGGAUGGACAUAUCAAUGGUGCACCAGUUGUCACGCCAGUGGCACAGCUGGGUAGCUAAAUAUGGAAGGGAUAAACGCUGAAGGCAUCUAAGUGUGAAACCCACUUCAAGAUGAGACUUCCCAUUACGCAAGUAAGUAAGACCCCUUAAAGACGAUAAGGUUGAUAGGUCAGGAGUGUAAGCAUGGCGACAUGUUCAGCGGACUGAUACUAAUAGGUCGAGGACUUAACCUA
rnacentral:rRNA from 1 species